GACGAACGCUGGCGGCGUGCUUAACACAUGCAUGUCGAACGGAAAGGCCCUGCUUUUGUGGGGUGCUCGAGUGGCGAACGGGUGAGUAACACGUGAGUAACCUGCCCUUGACUUUGGGAUAACUUCAGGAAACUGGGGCUAAUACCGGAUAGGAGCUCCUGCUGCAUGGUGGGGGUUGGAAAGGUUCGGCGGUUGGGGAUGGACUCGCGGCUUAUCAGCUUGUUGGUGGGGUAGUGGCUUACCAAGGCUUUGACGGGUAGCCGGCCUGAGAGGGUGACCGGCCACAUUGGGACUGAGAUACGGCCCAGACUCCUACGGGAGGCAGCAGUGGGGAAUAUUGCACAAUGGGCGGAAGCCUGAUGCAGCAACGCCGCGUGCGGGAUGACGGCCUUCGGGUUGUAAACCGCUUUCGCCUGUGACGAAGCGUGAGUGACGGUAAUGGGUAAAGAAGCACCGGCUAACUACGUG
rnacentral:rRNA from 1 species